rnacentral:rRNA from 2 species
GACGAAGGAUCCAAGCGUUAUCCGGAUUCAUUGGGUUUAAAGGGAGCGUAGGCGGACUUAUAAGUCAGUGGUGAAAGCCGAUAGCUUAACUAUCGAAUUGCCAUUGAUACUGUAGGUCUAGAGUACAGAUGAUGUUGGCGGAAUAUGACAUGUAGCGGUGAAAUGCAUAGAUAUGUCAUAGAACACCGAUUGCGAAGGCAGCUGACAAAACUGUAACUGACGCUGAGGCUCGAAAGUGCGGGGAUCAAACAGG